UCGCCUGUUUAACAAAAACAUGUCUGUGUGGAAUUUAUGCAAAGUCUGGCCUGCCCACUGAGUAUUUGAAGGGCCGCGGUAACUUGACCGUGCGAAGGUAGCAUAAUCAAUAGUCUUUUAAUUGGAGGCUGGAAUGAAUGGUUGGACAAGGGGUAGUCUGUCUUUUGUGUAAAAAUUGAAUUUAACUUUUAAGUGAAAAGGCUUAAAUUUUCUAAAGGGACGAUAAGACCCUAUAAAACUUCAUAGAGUUUGAGAUACUUUUUAAAUUAGGGUGUAAUGAAAUUUAUUUUUGCUUUAUUACGUUGGGGCGACGAGGAUAUAAAUUGUAACUGUUUGUUGGUUAAAAUAAAAGUAUUUAGAGAGGUUGAUCCCUUAUUAUGGAUCAUAAGAAUAAGUUACUUUAGGGAUAACAGCGUAAUUUUUUCUGAGAGUUCUUAUCGACGAAAGUAGUUGCGACCUCGAUGUUGAAUUAAAGUUUUUCCAAGGUGCAGAAGCUUUGGUUGUGGGUCUGUUCGACCCUUAAAACUUUACAUGAUUUGAGUUCAAACCGGUGUGAGCCAGGUUGUUUUCUA
rnacentral:rRNA from 1 species